rnacentral:rRNA from 1 species
UACGACUACAUAUCAGGCAUAUCAAUAAGCGGAGGAAAAGAAACUAACAAGGAUUCCCUUAGUAACGGCGAGUGAAGCGGGAAGAGCUCAAAUUUGAAAUCUUCAAGGUUUUACCUUGACGAAUUGUAGUUUAAAGAAGUGUUUUCUGUUGAAGUUUCGGUAAAAGUUCUUUGGAAUAGGACAUCAUAGAGGGUGAGAAUCCCGUAUUUGACCGUUAUUUUCAGCUGUGUGAUACACUUUCAAAGAGUCGGAUUGUUUGGGAAUGCAGUCCAAAAUGGGUGGUAAAUUUCAUCUAAAGCUAAAUAUUGGCGAGAGACCGAUAGCGAACAAGUACCGUGAGGGAAAGAUGAAGAGAACUUUGAAAAGAGAGUUAAACAGUACGUGAAAUUGUCAAAAGGGAAGCGUUUGACACCAGUGUUGUUUUCUCGAAAAUCAAUUAAAAAUAAAUUUGAUUUUGUGUUGUAUUGACCUUAAAAGCUUUCUUCACUUUUUUCAUGUUUAUUUUUAAUGCACUUUUCGUUUAACAAGUCAACAUCAGUUUCUUUUGUUGUAAAAAGGUCAUUGGAAGGUGGCUUUCUUUUCGGAGAAAGUGUUUAUAGCCUUUGACUCCUGCAAUCGGAGAGACUGAGGUCUGCAGCGUAGAUCCUUCUGGAUUAGAUUCAUUUGUGCUAAGUUAUAGCCUUUUCAUAGACAACUUGUUGACUAUAUUUAGUCAUGUAGCUUACUCGCUUAUGUAAUUUUACCUACGCUUAGGAUGUUGAACGCGCACAGAGUCUC